CAUUUUCUUCUUCUUCUUCUUCUUCUUCUUCUUCUUCUUCUUCUUCUUCUUCACAUCUCUUUUCAAGAAGAAGAAGAAGAAGAAGAAGAAGAAGAAGCCCUCACAUAAAUUUGUCAGCGUUUUAGGGUGCAUUUCUU